rnacentral:rRNA from 1 species
CGCGAAAACUUUGCAAUGCUGGCAACAGCGAUAAGGGAACCUCGAGUGCCAGGUUACAAAUCUGGCUGUCGAGGUGCCUAAAAAGCAUUUCAUAGCAAGGGCCGGGCAAGACCGGUGCCAGCCGCCGCGGUAACACCGGCGGCUCGAGUGGUAACCGUUAUUAUUGGGUCUAAAGGGUCUGUAGCCGGCCGGAUAAGUCUCUUGAGAAAUCUGGCAGCUUAACUGUCAGGCUUUCAGGAGAUACUGUCUGGCUCGAGGCCGGGAGAGGUGAGAGGUACUUCAGGGGUAGGGGUGAAAUCUUGUAAUCCUUGAAGGACCACCAGUGGCGAAGGCGUCUCACCAGAACGGACCUGACGGCAAGGGACGAAAGCUAGGGGCACGAACCG